rnacentral:rRNA from 1 species
AUUGAACGCUGGCGGCGUGCCUAAUACAUGCAAGUCGAGCGAAGCGGGGACGGGUGAGUAACACGUGGAUAACCUCCUAUAAGACUGGGAUAACUUCGGGAAACCGGAGCUAAACCGGAUACUUAUCGAUGGAUCCUCGCUGCAUUUGCUAGUUGGUAAGGUAACGGCUUACCAAGCAAACGAGGCAUAGCCGCCCUGAGAGGAUGAUCGGCCACACUGGAACGGAGACACGGUCCAGACUCCUACGGGAGGCAGCAGUAGGGAAUCUUCCACAAUGGGCGAAAGCCUGACGGAGCAACGCCGCGUGAGUGAUGAAGGUCCUCGGAUCGUAAAACUCUGUUAUUAGGGAAGCGGUACCGAAACAGAAAGCAACGGCUAACUACGUGCCAGCAGCCGCGGUAAUUC